rnacentral:rRNA from 1 species
UUAAGUGAAUAAGGGCGCACGGAGGAUGCCUUGGCACUAGGAGUCGAAGAAGGACGCGACAAACGGCGAAACGCCUCGGGGAGCUGUAAGUGAGCUUUGAUCCGGGGAUAUCCGAAUGGGGAAACCCGCUAGUGGUUAUACGCUAGCACCAUAUGGUGAAUACAUAGCCAUAUAGGAGACAGACCCAGGGAACUGAAACAUCUAAGUACCUGGAGGAAAAGAAAGAAAAAUCGAUUCCCGUAGUAGCGGCGAGCGAAGUGGGAAGAGCCCAAACCGGCACUAGCCGGGGUUGUAGGACCUUCAUAAUUGACAAAUCAUGAUAGCCGAGUGGUCUGGGAAGGCCAACCGGAGAGGGUGAGAGUCCCGUAGGUGAAAUUGUGAAAUGCAUGGAAGGAAUCCUGAGUACGGCGGGACACGUGGAAUCCCGUCGGAAUCAACGAGGACCAUCUCGUAAGGCUAAAUACUACCUAGUGACCGAUAGUGAACCAGUACCGUGAGGGAAAGGUGAAAAGAACCCCGGAAGGGGAGUGAAAGAGAACCUGAAACCGUGUGCCUACAAAUAGUCAGAGCCCGUUAAUGGGUGAUGGCGUGCCUUUUGUAGAAUGAACCGGCGAGUUACGAUAUCGUGCGAGGUUAAGCAGAAGAUGCGGAGCCGUAGCGAAAGCGAGUCUGAAUAGGGCGAAGAGUACGAUGUUGUAGACCCGAAACCGUGUGAGCUAGCCAUGAGCAGGCUGAAGGUCAGGUAACACUGACUGGAGGGCCGAACCAGGGCACGUUGAAAAGUGCUUGGAUGACUUGUGGCUAGGGGUGAAAUUCCAAUCGAACACGGAUAUAGCUGGUUCUCUCCGAAAUAGCUUUAGGGCUAGCCUCGAUGGCAAGUCUACUGGAGGUAGAGCACUGAAUGGGUGAUGGCCCCACCUCGGGGUACUGAUCUCAAUCAAACUCCGAAUGCCAGAUAGAUAUCAUCGGGAGUCAGACUGUGGGUGAUAAGGUCCAUGGUCAAAAGGGAAAGAGCCCAGACCGCCAGCUAAGGCCCCCAAGUGUCCGUUAAGUGGAAAAGGAUGUGGAGAUGCACAGACAACUAGGAGGUUGGCUUAGAAGCAGCCAUCCUUUAAAGAGUGCGUAAUAGCUCACUAGUCGAGUGACUCUGCGCCGAAAAUGUACCGGGGCUAAACGGACCGCCGAAGCUGCGGAUUGACACUUAGGUGUCAGUGGUAGGAGAGCGUUCUAACAGCGGAGAAGCAGUACCGGAAGGAGCUGUGGAGCGGUUAGAAGUGAGAAUGCCGGUGUGAGUAGCGAAAGAUAGGUGAGAAUCCUAUCCAUCGAAAGCCUAAGGUUUCCAGGGGAAGGCUCGUCCGCCCUGGGUAAGUCGGGACCUAAGGUGAGGCCGAAAGGCGUAGCCGAUGGACAACAGGUUGAUAUUCCUGUACCACUUAUUAAACUGAUGGAGUGACGGAGAAGGCUAAGUUGAGCGUGUUAAUGGAUUCACGUGUAAGCAGUGAGGUGGUCAUGUAGGCAAAUCCGCAUGGCAUAACAUUGAGCUGUGAUGCCGAAGCCGUAUGGCGAAGUCAACUGAUGUCACGCUUCCAAGAAAAGCUUCUAGGGUUAAUUUAGUAAGUGCCCGUACCGAUAACCGACACAGGUAGGCGAGGAGAGAAUCCUAAGAUGAGCGAGAGAACUCUUGUUAAGGAACUCGGCAAAAUGACCCCGUAACUUCGGGAGAAGGGGUGCCUCGAAAGAGGCCGCAGAGAAUAGUCACAAGCGACUGUUUAGCAAAAACACAGGUAUCUGCGAAAGCGAGAGCUGACGUAUAGGUGCUGACACCUGCCCGGUGCUGGAAGGUUAAGGGAACAUGUUAGAGCAAUCGAAGCAUCGAACCGAAGCCCCAGUAAACGGCGGCCGUAACUAUAACGGUCCUAAGGUAGCGAAAUUCCUUGUCGGGUAAGUUCCGACCCGCACGAA